AAGUGUGAAGGUCACAUCUGAGUUUUAUUGAAGAAGAUGGAAAUGGUGUAUAGUCCAAUUGGGAGAUGCUAUUAUGAUGAAUCCUUGACGGUUCUUGAGGCUGGUAUACAACUCGGCAGUGCUUUGUACAACCUAGAAAUGCAUGACAUGUGAGAAGACUGUCUACUUGGUGGACAAACUGACUGUUGAUGACACACACUCAAGGUUUCUUAUAUAUGCCCAUAAGCUCUGAACUACAACUCCUUUAAGGAUGUUAUUUGCUGCAGGCUUGAAUAGUUGUUCUAGAAAACAGCGGGUAGCUUCCCGUUUCUAAAUUUAUUGUCAUCAAGAUUCAAGAGUGUCGCUUUUUGAAGUAUUGGUGAAGCCAAACUUUUGGUUGUUGACUAUAAACGAAAAGGAACUGGUAAGCUCCUGGUCGACAGAUGCAAUCUCAAAAUUGAUUAACCUUACCUAAUCUUUUAUCACAACCCAUUAAGGAUAACUUUCUUAUGUGGAGGGUGGCCUUGGAUAGGGUCCCAACCAUGGUGGUGUUGGUUAGAAGAAAUGUUAAGUAUGAAUUCAUCCAGUGUAUAUUUUGCGGUGAUCGUGACACGUGAGUCAGUGACAUCUGAACACUGGUUAAUUUUUUGCAAUCUGGCUCGGUGUGGGAUUUUGUGGCGCAUUGGUGUAAAGUUCAGCCGGUAUUUGUCCUCUAAACCAGAGAUUCGAUGAGUAUGCAUAAGCACAUCAGGGGAUAUGUGAAAUGGAGACGAGUUGUAUGCGCGGUUAUGCAAACAACAAACAGUUUGGUGUAUUUGGCGAAGCGGAAAUGACAUGGAUUUUAAUAGGCAACAAGCAAACCUCGAUAGAAGAAAGGGGAUAGUCAUGAGCUAUCUUCAGGUGAGCUGAUGUAAUAUUAAUCUUUGGUGUAUGUGUGUGUGAGAUUGGUUUUUGUUUGUUUGUCUGUUUGUAGUUAAAACUUUGGAGAUGUAUGGUUUUUGGGCUAUUCACUGUUAGCUCUGUUUAUAAUACAUUUUCCUUUGUUGGCCUUCAAAA